rnacentral:rRNA from 1 species
AUGCCGAGGUGGAGUCGGAGGAAGGGGGGGAUGACGUCAAAUCAUCAGGCCCCUUAUGUCUUGGGCUUCACGCAUGCUACAAUGGCCGGUACAAAGGGCUGCGAUACCGCGAGGUGGAGCGAAUCCCAAAAAGCCGGUCUCAGUUCGGAUUGGGGUCUGCAACUCGACCCCAUGAAGUCGGAGUCGCUAGUAAUCGCAGAUCAGCAACGCUGCGGUGAAUACGUUCCCGGGCCUUGUACACACCGCCCAUCAAGUCAUGAAAGUCGGUAACACCCGAAGCCGAUGGCCCAACCUUUUGGGGGGAGUCUGGUUGGAAAGGGGGUAC